AAGUAUCAGUCCAAUCUCACUCUUACGAGGAAACAUAAAUUGUAAAUUGUCUUCUUAUCUAAAUAGGUUUACAUAGACACCAAAAUGAAGGUUUUCUCAAGUAUAGUAAUAUUUGCCAUCUUCAUAGUUCCAAAAACAUUGGGAAGUUUCAGCUCUGAGGAUGAGGAAAAUCUAUUAUUGAGAGGACGACCCUGUCACGCUGUCGGAACAAAGGUGGCCAUAACUCGACCGUACGGCGGCGUGCGUUUGUACGGCCACACCCAAGAGAGAUGUUUGUGUCCGUAAAUUGCCAAAAGCUACUUGGUAUUGUGUUUCCGGUCUACUUAGCAAGUUCCUAUUUAUUACGAGAUAAAAUGAGUUUUUUGAACUGUUUUAGAAACCUUGGAACAUUUAGUCAAUUAUAUAUUAACAUACAUAAAUAACUAGUCGAUACACUCUCAGAAAUAUUGUUAAGAUUUGUAGACGUACAGAUAUAUGACCCUACCGCCAUGGUGAUAAAUUUAUCACCGACUAGUCACCGACUAGUUAUCAUUAUAAGCAGAUUGGUUAUAAUUGAAACCAAGGCGGUUACGUUUGUAACCAUUCGGUUACAAAUUUAUGACCAAUCGGUGAUGAAGCUUAUCACCAUUUCGGUAGAGUCAUAUACGUCUAAAUCUGGUGAUAAUCAUCACCCAAUUUCUCCGAGUGUACGAAUCGCACUGGUAACAAAACGGUGUUAGCAACUGGCGUAUUGAAUUCCAAUAUCUAUUUUUGCAUAUGUGCAAACAUAUAUAUGUGUCCCAAGAUAAUGUGAAACAAAAUAUACAAAAUAAAAACUUUUAAGUUCUAUA